AGAGGAUUUAGUACUGCUAUAAUGGACUGAUGCAGCAGGUGGCAGCAGUCCAACAAUAAGGAUGCCGGCUGCCAUUAAACGCCGUAGAAGAAGAGGGGUGAGUUUGAUUUUCUCAUAGGGACACCCGGUUUGAUAGGAGCGCGUUUCGUGUCGAAAUAAAGCCAUAAAAUAUAU